AGCACUCCAUCAUCACGUUCUUCUCCUCACACUCCCAUCGCAUCCAACAAUUUCAUUUGGUCGAGCAAUUGGUCAUGGCGUCCAACAGCGCUCAACUGCUUGCUGCCUUCUCCUUGGCCCUGCUCCUCAUUUCCUCCGGCGCUAAGCUGAAAGAUUGCGCCCGUAUUGAUAUUGGUGAAUGCAACCAACAUAAAUGCAUUACGGCCUGCAUCAAAUUAAACUACAAUACGGCUAUCUGCGAUAACGACGCAGCCAGCGAAGACAGCGGAGGAGACGUUUCCUUGAACGAGAUGGGGUUAUACGGGUCGUGCGUGUGUUGUUAGAUUUUAUUUUAUGGGCUUCCUCUUCUUAAAAUUGUAAACCUUGCCCUGUCAGAUAAUAAAAAUCCAAGGACUCUUCUGGCUCGAAUUUGAUUUCCUUGUCGUGCGCGUGUGUGUACAACCGCGGAUCGUGUCUUCUCCUUUCUCUGUUCUCGUCCGUGUGUGUGUGUUCUUCUCCUUUCUCUAAUCCAUUCCUGCCGCUCUUAUCCAUUCCCCAAUCCCUUGAGAUAGACAGAGAGAGCGAGCGAGACGGAGCUAGCCAGACAGAGUGGUGGUACCCUCCUCCACGGCGAAGAGCUCUAGGAGUGUAGCAAGCGGCUGGGACGGUGAUGCGCACCAAUGGGACGCCGACGGCUUGCGCGUUGGCAACGCCGAGAGAGCAGGAGCGGCCGCGGUGUACUCCAACCGCUGGCUAUGAUGGCGCAGGCGUCAAUCUAAAGCAUCUCGCCGGCGGCCCGGCGCGGCAAGAUGUAGUGAGCGGGAGUGGACGGUGGUGCUCGACCGACGCGGCGAGCUGGAGCCGAAAUCUCGCGGGAGUGAGAGUGCCGAGUGUACCCAGCAAGGGAGGUGAUUCUUGGGUGUUUUUAUUUGCACUUUUUGCAGCCAAUUCCCUCCUGUCGAUGUUGAUAGAAGCAUGUCGUGCUGAGUAGUGGUUGCGUGAUACCGAGGAAGAUUCUGAGCUAAUAUGUAGCGAUAAUCGGUCAGCAAGCAAUACUCGUUUCUGAAAGUUCUUCUUGCAUACUAUACCAUGCUGAAGUAGACAAUGUUCUUGGUUCUGAAGUUCGAUCGCUUGUUUUGUAA